rnacentral:rRNA from 1 species
UACGUAGGGUCCGAGCGUUGUCCGGAAUUAUUGGGCGUAAAGGGCUCGUAGGCGGUUUGUCGCGUCGGGAGUGAAAACCUACAGCUUAACUGUGGGCUUGCUUUCGAUACGGGCAGACUUGAGGCAUUCAGGGGAGAACGGAAUUCCUGGUGUAGCGGUGAAAUGCGCAGAUAUCAGGAGGAACACCGGUAGGCGAAGGCGGU